GAGUUUGAUCCUGGCUCAGAACGAACGCUGGCGGCGUGCUUAACACAUGCAAGUCGAACGGAGCCAUAAUGAAGUAGCAAUACGGAGAUAUGGCUUAGUGGCGGACGGGUGAGUAACACGUAGGUAACCGACCCUGAAGCGGGGGACAACUCUUCGAAAGGAGAGCUAAUACCGCAUAAGACCACGAUCUGGAAGGAUUGUGGUAAAAGUAGCAAUACACUUUAGGACGGGCCUGCGGCCUAUCAGGUAGUUGGUAAGGUAACGGCUUACCAAGCCUAAGACGGGUAGCCGGACUGAGAGGUUGAACGGCCACACUGGAACUGAGAUACGGUCCAGACUCCUACGGGAGGCAGCAGUGGGGAAUUUUGCGCAAUGGGCGAAAGCCUGACGCAGCGACGCCGCGUGGAGGAUGAAGGUCUUCGGAUUGUAAACUCCUUUUGUAGGGAAAGAUAAUGACGGUACCCUGCGAAUAAGCCACGGCUAACUCUGUGCCAGCAGCCGCGGUAAGACAGAGGUGGCAAGCGUUGUUCGGAAUUACUGGGCUUAAAGGGCGCGUAGGUGUCCUGGCAAGUCAGAUGUGGAAUCUUUCUGCUUAACGGAAAAAUUGCAUUUGAAACUGCCGGGAUUGAGUCAGACAGGGGAUGGCGGAAUUCCUGGUGUAGCGGUGAAAUGCGUAGAUAUCANGAGGAAGGCCUGUGGUGAAGACGGCCAUCUGGGUCUGAACUGACACUGAGGCGCGAAAGCGUGGGUAGCANACAGGAUUAGAUACCCUGNUAGUC
rnacentral:rRNA from 1 species